UCUUCCAAAAAAAAAAGUUUUGGUAUAACAGAUUCUCCUUCAGUUCGUGAUUAUAAUUGCCGAGCAAACAACACAAUCUCCCCAGAAAAUUUACAAAUCACAGCAACGUUUAAUGUCUGUCGAUCUUAAUUUAUUGUAAUUAGGUUUUGCUCAAUCAAUUUCAUUCAGCAUGUGCUACUGUUCCACUCAAAUUCCGAGUUAGUAAGGGAAGUAGCUGUUUCCGCAAUGGAAGGUAACAAGGACGAAGCAUUGCGCUGCGUUCGGAUCGCCGAGGAAGCAAUCGCGUCGGGGAACAAAGACCGCGCCGUGAAAUUCCUCAGAAUCGCUAAGCGGCUAAACCGCGAUUUGCCGAUUCAAUCAUUGCUACAGAAGUGCGAGGGUCUUGAUUCUCAGUCCUCCGCCACUGCCGCUCAUGGCGCGCAGGCUACUGGUACUUCUUCGCGGGGAGAACGUUUGAACGGGGAGAGGAGUCACGUGAGUUACACGGAGGAGAACGUUCGGUUGAUUAGGGAAAUCAAAGGAAAGAGCGACUACUACGCGAUUCUUGGAUUGGAGAAGAGCUGCUCCGUCGAAGAGAUUCGGAAAGCGUAUCGGAAGCUAUCACUGAAGGUUCAUCCCGAUAAGAACAAAGCGCCCGGCUCAGAAGACGCGUUCAAGAAAGUCUCGAAGGCUUUCAAGUGUUUGAGCGAUGACGGUUCUAGAAGGAUGUAUGACCAGACCGGAACCGUCGAUGAUUUCGACCACGGCGAGGUGAACGCUUACCGGCGGAGGCGGAGAAGGACGACGACGGCAACCACGACGCGUGAUUUCUUUGAAGACGAGUUCGAUCCCGACGAAAUAUUUAGGGCUUUCUUCGGACACUCCGAUGUGUUUGGGAGGAACCAUGUUUUCAGGCCCCGCGGCAUGGGGAAUCCCCAUAGGACUGAGGUUAACGAUGGAUCGGGAGGGAGGCAUCACAAUGUUAUGCUUCUGAUUCAGCUUUUGCCGCUUUUGAUUAUUAUUGUUCUCGCGUACUUGCCGUUUUCUGAGCCUGAGUAUUCCUUGCACAAGCAUUACAACUACCAGAUUCCGAAAACGACUGAGCUGCACGGGGUGCAGUUCUUUGUGAAAUCGCAGGAGUUUGAAGGGAAUUAUCCGGUGGGGAGUGAUGCUCGUGUGGCGGUUGAGGAAAGUGUGCUAAAGGAUUACAGGAGUAUGCUUCGGAGAUACUGUCAGGUGGAGAUGCAGAGACGGAGUUGGAAUAGGAAUCUGCCUACUCCUCACUGUGAUAAGCUGCAGAACUUUGCAGUCAUGGCAUGAAGAGAAAAAGUUGGGAGCCACAGAUGACAGGACCAACAAUCAGCGCUUGUUGGGUGAGUCAGAAGCAACAAACACAACAUUUUCAAUCAGCGCCUGCAUGAAUUUGUCAAGGAUAUCUAAUAUAUCCGUGGGAGUGGCUCUUAUUAUAGGCUGUAUCCUAACUGAGUAGCUUCCAGUCUAUUGCUGUACACUUCUUCCUGUGCGAAGUCUCUGAUGAAUGUGCUUAAGCAUGUGUUUGUAUUGUUUGAGGGAUAUAUGGAUGCGCUUAUCUAUUAUGCUAUAUGCGAUUAUUAAUGACGCAUAACAAGUCAGCAUAUAAUUACACCAGUCAAAGUCAUAAAAGUAUCAUCAGUGUUGGACAUUUAUAUACAAGCUCAAGACCCGAGUUUUCUGAGCUACUUGAGGGUAAGAGGUUAUUUAUAGUUGUAGGCGUAUAUGUGAUAAAGGAAACCAACAUAUUGCUUCAUUAAGGCGAAUUUCUAUUUCGCCAAUUAAGGAAGUCUUGCAAUCAUCUGAUUGAAUUUGAUUUUGACCA